AUCCCUUACUCACGUGAGCAGUCGUCUCUAUGUCAAAGGGACUACUCGGUGAGUAAGGAUCGC
rnacentral:pre_miRNA from 1 species